UGAUACUAAAUGAGGUUUUUAAAGUGUCAGAAUACAUAAUUUAAUUUAAAAGCAAGUGAUGACCGUUUGAGUCAUCACACCCGGUCUCACAAGUGCAUGAGCAUUUACUAGGAAUGAAAUGACAUACAAUGAACGACCGGAAUACAAAUGGACAUAAAUUAAAUAUAGUAAUUUGAAAGGGACUCUACUAGUUGUGGGUCGUCUAGAGAAAUGUAGUUCACCUAAGAUUCCGUAUCAACCAUGCUUAUCCCACUAGGCCACUAGAGAUGUUUGUGCCUGUGCAAUAAAAAUACACAGCAAGUGUAGUAUGAGUACGAAAAUAAUGUGUAGUAUGAGUACGAAAAUAAUUGUACUCAGUAAGUAUCCCGUCUAAUCUCGAAGAAGUGGAGACGAGAGAUCAACUUCGACACUUACUAGUGGUCUAGUGAUAAUUAGUAAAAAUAUGAGGAAAUCAUGGAAUUUUAUAAAACAACUAUUAUAAUUCAUAAAGCCAAAUAGCGGGUACACAACUUUCCAAAUAAUCAUGGUUUUCCCAAGAUUUACUUUUCAUUUUCUUUAUCAAUUUAUCUCCGACCAGGAAAGACACAUAUCAAUAUUUAUAAUCUCAAGCAACAAUAUGUUAGAAUAUAUGCUUAAC
rnacentral:lncRNA from 1 species